AGAACGAACGCUGGCGGCAUGCCUAAUACAUGCAAGUCGAACGAACACUUCGGUGUCAGUGGCGCACGGGUGCGUAACGCGUGGGAAUCUGCCCUUGGGUUCGGAAUAACAGUUGGAAACGACUGCUAAUACCGGAUGAUGACGAAAGUCCAAAGAUUUAUCGCCCAGGGAUGAGCCCGCGUAGGAUUAGCUAGUUGGUGAGGUAAAGGCUCACCAAGGCGACGAUCCUUAGCUGGUCUGAGAGGAUGACCAGCCACACUGGGACUGAGACACGGCCCAGACUCCUACGGGAGGCAGCAGUGGGGAAUUUGGGACAAGUGGGGGAAACCCUGAUCCAGCCAUCCCGCGUGUGCGAUGAA
rnacentral:rRNA from 1 species